rnacentral:rRNA from 1 species
AGUGAACGCUGGCGGUAGGCCUAACACAUGCAAGUCGAACGGCAGCACAGUAAGAGCUUGCUCUUACGGGUGGCGAGUGGCGGACGGGUGAGGAAUACAUCGGAAUCUACUUUUUCGUGGGGGAUAACGUAGGGAAACUUACGCUAAUACCGCAUACGACCUACGGGUGAAAGCAGGGGAUCUUCGGACCUUGCGCGAUUGAAUGAGCCGAUGUCGGAUUAGCUAGUUGGCGGGGUAAAGGCCCACCAAGGCGACGAUCCGUAGCUGGUCUGAGAGGAUGGUCAGCCGCACUGGAAGGUAGACACGGUCCAGACUCCUGCGGGAGGCAGCAGUGGGGAAUAUUGGACAAUGGGCGCGAGCCUUAUCCAGCCAUACCGCGUGGGUGAAGACGGCCUUCGGGUUGUAAAGCCCUUUUGUUGGGAAAGAACAGCAGCAGGUUAAUACCCCGCUGUUCUGACGGUACCCAAAGAAUAAGCACCGGCUAACUUCGUG